rnacentral:rRNA from 1 species
GACGAACCGAGCGAACGUUGUUCGGAAUCACUGGGCUUAAAGGGCGCGUAGGCGGGCUGUCAAGUCUGGGGUGAAAUCCCACGGCUCAACCGUGGAACUGCCUUAGAUACUGACGGCCUCGAGGGAGAUAGGGGCGAGCGGAACUGUGAGUGGAGCGGUGAAAUGCGUAGAUAUCAUUUGGAACGCCAAUGGUGAAAACAGGUAGCUGGGAGUGUGCUGACGCUGAGACACGAAAGCCAGGGGAGCAAACGGG